CAGCCAGAGAAAACCUCUCCCUUUCUGGGUUUAUUACCACCCUGUGUAUUGGGCUCUUGAACAAUCCAUUGCUCAAUAUCUGUGUAUAUCAUACACAAUCAGUUUGGUUCAAAAGAAAAAAUGAAUUCUGAUAUUUUUAGGAAUUGAAGACCUUCCACUUCUUUGUCUUGAAGAACAAUGGUGAUUACUGAUCCAUCAGAAUGUGAUUUCAGGCCAAGAACUAGAUGAUGCCUUGAACAUGGAGGAAAGAAGUUGAAUCUUGCCUGCAUUAUUGCCCUAGCUCCAUAUUUGUCUAAAAAGCAGUUGUUUUCCAAGUUCAGUGACCUAGCCAUGGCCUUGAGGACGACCUCAGUUAUCAGCCGUAACUUAGAGGACUUUCUGGCCAAUAUCUGAGCUGUCUCUGGUCUUCUGGGCUUGCUAGAAGAUAUAGUCGGUCAUUCCAAUCAAGCACUUGAUCUUCUGAAAGAAUCAUGUCAUUCCCAUAACCUUCCAUGGCGUCAACUUCUCUGGCAUAUUUCUGCUUCUCUUCCAUGGGAAGAGCAAAGAAUUUCUUGGUAGCUAACCGCACUUCGUCCAAGAACGAACUUGUCAUCCCAUGAUUUAUUGACUGAGAAAUUCAAUGAUGAGAAGGCAUAAGUGAUGAAUCCAUAUGAGAAAAGGCAAGUAGUAUACACGUUAAUAAAACCAGACCAUAAAGCAGCCACAUGAGCUGAGAGCAGAAUGGAGUUUUUCAAGUUCUUCUCUGCAGAUCGAUGUUGGAGAAGCAAGAAGACCAAUAUCAAUAAUUGGAAUCUUCAUCAGUGGAAGAGAAGAAGUGUCUAGGACUUCACCAACACCAUCUUUGUAGCAAUAUCUUCCUGGUGGUUCUCCGCCUUUAUUGGCUACCAAUUCUUGGAGACACUCUGAUAUUGGUUCUGCCUUUGCAGGAGGAGAGGGAGGAUGGUCAGCCAUGCUUUUGCAAGGGUCUGUGAUGCAGCAACUGAGAGAUAAGAUUGCUUAGUUAUCUGCUGAGGUCAACGAGACCUCUCUGCAUAUGCUUAAGUGAUACAACUGGGCUGGCAUGGGCUGAUUAGUUGGCAAUUAGUUUUGGUUUCUUCUACCUAUUCUAUUGUCAUAUUUUUGUCUUCUUGUACUUUGUAGAAAUCUCUUCUUGAUUA